GAGGUCCCAGCCCAGGCUGGGAGGCCCCUGGUUGAUUCUGACUGAUUUCAGGCAAGGGAAGCGGGUUUUGAACCUGGGUUUGCUUUGGUGGAGGUGUCUCUGAAGGGAUAAAGGUGCCAGGGGAGGAUCAGAGGAUCCCAGACUGGUUUGGGUUGGAAGGGACCUUAAAGCUCAUCCAGUGCCAGGGACAGGAGUUUGGGUUACAGGUUAGGAGGGGUCUGAGUUAGAGAUUAGGAUGAGUUAGAGAUUAGAAUUGAGUUUGAGUUACAGAUCAGGAUGAGUCUGAGCUACAGAUUAGGAGGAGUCUGAGUUAAAGAUUAGGAUGAGUCUGAGUUACAGGUUAGGAUGAGUUGAAAUUAAGAGGUUAGGAUGAGUUUGAGUUACAGGUUAGGAUGAGACUGAGUUACAGGUUAGGAUGAGUUUGAGUUACAGGUUAGGAUGAGUCUGAGUUACAGGUUAGGAUGAGUCUGAGUUAGGUUAGGAUGAGUCUGAGUUACAGGUUAGGAUGAGUUUGAGUUACAGGUUAGGAUGAGUUUGAGUUACAGGUUAGGAUGAGUCUGAGUUACAUGUUAGGAUGAGUUUGGGUUACAGGAGUUUGAGGUGGGAGCAUUCUGCAAAUGAAAUAUUUGAUUUAUCUCUAAGCUGUGACUUUUCUUUCACCUAUUUUCCAUUUCCCAAAGACAGACUGGUUUUGUUCUGCCCCUCUUUGUGAAACCCCGUUGAACAAAUGAUUUCUGUGCUAAUCUCCCUUUUCCCUGUGUUUUGUCUCCACC